UACGUAGGGUGCGAGCGUUAAUCGGAAUUACUGGGCGUAAAGCGUGCGCAGGCGGUUUGGUAAGACAGGCGUGAAAUCCCCGGGCUCAACCUGGGAACUGCGCUUGUGACUGCAUCACUCGAGUACGGCAGAGGGAGGUGGAAUUCCGCGUGUAGCAGUGAAAUGCGUAGAUAUGCGGAGGAACACCGAUGGCGAAGGCAGCCUCCUGGGCCAGUACUGACGCUCAUGCACGAAAGCGUGGGGAGCAAACAGGAUUAGAAACCCCGGUAGU
rnacentral:rRNA from 1 species